UACGAAGGGGGCUAGCGUUGUUCGGAAUUACUGGGCGUAAAGCGUGCGCAGGCGGCUUCUCAAGUCAGGGGUGAAAGCCCAGAGCUCAACUCUGGAAUUGCCUUUGAGACUGAGUGGCUUGAGUACGAGAGAGGUGAGUGGAAUUCCCAGUGUAGAGGUGAAAUUCGUAGAUAUUCGCAAGAACACCAGUGGCGAAGGCGGCUCACUGGCCCGGUACUGACGCUGAGGCACGAAAGCGUGGGGAGCAAACAGG
rnacentral:rRNA from 1 species